rnacentral:tRNA from 1 species
GGGGCUGUGGCUCAGCAGUAAAGUAUCUGCUUGGAAUGCAGAAAGUCCCAGGUUCAAUCCUCAGCAUCAUCA